GCAGACGGCUGCCCGUCCUGAGCCUGGUUCUGCCAGAGCUUUGUCCUGGUAAAAAGGGCUUUUCUCUCCACUGUCGCCCCGUGCUUGCUCAGGACGGGGGAUUGCUUUAAAAUGAAGUUUUGAUGCAAUCUGCUGGUUUCCUCCCCUCCGUAGAAUCGCCACCUUAACGUGGUGGAGGGGUUCGACUUACCCCCAUGAUCCUGAGCUCUGAGUUGCCUGGGACUUUGAUCUUUGGUGUGGUCACCCAUGGCAACGUGCCUUCAAAAUAGGGGUGGGGGGGUCACACCAAGAGCGAUUCAAAUACUUGGAUGGAGUAAAGCUGUAGAGGUGAACAUCUGGAGUCAACCCUGUCUUGGAAGCAAACCUGGUGGGAGAGCUUUAAAGCAACAGUAACCCCCUUCCACAUGGAUCUACCACAAACUGGAAGGCACAUUCAGAGGAGCCUGAGAUGAAGACAAGUGCUCUUCUUCCACCCUCAUUUUUGCCAUGGCCAGCCAUUGGGUUCCCUUGGAGUCCAGAUGUUCCUUCUCACCCACCUUUGAUUUUGCUGAUGUUGCUAAAGUUAAUGUAGCCUCCUUAUUGUUCAGUUGUACUUAUGUUAUACCAAACUACUAAAAAUAACUGCAACAUUUGUUACUAAUGAAGUAUAUUUUCUUAAGUAAAGCUUAUUUAAAUUGG